GAUGAACGCUGGCGGCGUGCCUAACACAUGCAAGUCGAGCGAACAGACGAUGAGCUUGUGCUUCUGACGUUAGCGGCGGACGGGCGAGUAACAAGUGGAUAACCAACUUCUUAUACUGGGAUAAUAUCGGGAGACAGGAGCCAAUACUGGAUAAUACAUCGUACCGCAUGGAUCAAUAGAUCUUGACAGUUUUCGCGAUUCAUAUAGCUGAAUCCGGGUCGGAUAAGCUAGUUGGUAAGGUAACGGCUCACCAAGGCAACGAUGCGUAGCUGAGCUGAGAGGGUGAUCGGCCACACUGGAACUGAGACACGGUCCAGACUCCUACGGGAGGCAGCAGUAGGGAAUCUUGCGCAAUGGGCGAAAGCCUGAUGGAGCAACGCCGCGUGAGUGAAGAAGGUCUUCGGGUCGUAAAGCUCUUUUAUUAGGGAAGAACAAAUGUGUAAGUAACUAUGCACGUCUUGACGGUACCUAAACAGAAAGCCCCGGCUAACUACGUG
rnacentral:rRNA from 1 species